rnacentral:rRNA from 1 species
UCAAUCUCGUGCGGCUGAAAGCCGCCUGUCCCUCUAAGAAGAAUUGUUUUCGCCGGUAGGUGAGAUACCGGGAACGCCUAUUUAAUAGGCUAGAGUCUCGUUCGUUAU